rnacentral:tRNA from 1 species
AGAGAUUUAGCUCAGUGGUAGAGCAUUUGCCUAGCAUGCACAAAGCCCAGUACCACACACACAAAAAAAGUAGCUACAAUUUUUA